UACAGAGGUCUCAAGCGUUGUUCGGAUUCAUUGGGCGUAAAGGGUGCGUAGGCGGCGCGGUAAGUCGGGUGUGAAAUCUUGGAGCUUAACUCCGAAACUGCAUUCGAUACUGCCGUGCUUGAGGACUGGAGAGGAGACUGGAAUUUACGGUGUAGCGGUGAAAUGCGUAGAUAUCGUAAGGAAGACCAGUGGCGAAGGCGGGUCUCUGGACAGUUCCUGACGCUGAGGCACGAAGGCCAGGGGAGCAAACAGGAUUAGA
rnacentral:rRNA from 1 species